GAUACUAUCCUUUACUCAACCACCAGCUGUAUACGAGCCAAUACGUAUUAGCGAUCAAACAUUGGAGAAUGGAGAGGGUAACGAGUAUUAAAUCCCUUGGAGUUACAUUAAGUAAUGAAUUGAAGUGGAAGGAUCAUGUAAAUACAGUUACUUCGAAAGCAUCAAAACGCUUGUAUCUACUAAGGCAACUUAAACGUGCUGAUGUGGCGAACGUGGACUUGGUCAACUUUUAUUGUAGCUGCAUAAGGUCGGCCUUAGAAUAUGCAUGUCAAUUAUUUCAUAGCGCCUUGCCACAAUACCUUACCAAGGAUAUCGAACGUAUACAAAAGCGUGCAAUGAGAAUAAUAUACCCGGAUAUUAUUCGAUGAUAUCUGCGAAAAGAAAGAACCUUCG